rnacentral:rRNA from 1 species
AACGAACGCUGGCGGCAGGCUUAACACAUGCAAGUCGAACGCCCCGCAAGGGGAGUGGCAGACGGGUGAGUAACGCGUGGGAAUCUACCCUGAUCUGCGGGAUAGCUCCGGGAAACUGGAAUUAAUACCGCAUAUGUCCUGAGGGACAAAGAUUGAUCGGUUCAGGAUGAGCCCGCGUCCGAUUAGCUAGUUGGUGGGGUAAAGGCCUACCAAGGCGACGAUCGGUAGCUGGUCUAAGAGGAUGAUCAGCCACAUUGGGACUGAGACACGGCCCAAACUCCUACGGGAGGCAGCAGUGGGGAAUAUUGGACAAUGGGCGCAAGCCUGAUCCAGCCAUGCCGCGUGAGUGAUGAAGGUCUUAGGAUUGUAAAGCUCUUUCACCGGGGACGAUAAUGACGGUACCCGGAGAAGAAGCCCCGGCUAACUUCGUGCCAGCCGCCGUAAAAC